GGCCUUCGGGUUGUAAACCUCUUUCAGUAGGGAAGAAGCGAGAGUGACGGUACCUGCAGAAGAAGCGCCGGCUAACUACGUGCCAGCAGCCGCGGUAAUACGUAGGGCGCAAGCGUUGUCCGGAAUUAUUGGGCGUAAAGAGCUCGUAGGCGGUUUGUCGCGUCUGCUGUGAAAGCCCGGGGCUCAACCCCGGGUCUGCAGUGGGUACGGGCAGACUAGAGUGCAGUAGGGGAGACUGGAAUUCCUGGUGUAGCGGUGAAAUGCGCAGAUAUCAGGAGGAACACCGAUGGCGAAGGCAGGUCUCUGGGCUGUUACUGACGCUGAGGAGCGAAAGCAUGGGGAGCGAACAGGAUUAGAUACCCUGGUAGUCCAUGCCGUAAACGUUGGGCACUAGGUGUGGGGGACAUUCCACGUUUUCCGCGCCGUAGCUAACGCAUUAAGUGCCCCGCCUGGGGAGUACGGCCGCAAGGCUAAAACUCAAAGGA
rnacentral:rRNA from 1 species